rnacentral:lncRNA from 1 species
AGCUUAGAGGUGGCAGUGGCUCUCUGCGGCUGCGAUUUCUUUCUCGGAGCGUCCUCCCCAUCCCGUUCGGCCUCUGCCUCCACCGUCGUCUCUGUAACCCGUUCCCUGUGGGAGAGUCUCUGUUGCGGUGUUCAGGGGUUUCGGUUUUCUGGCUGAACAGUGAUUAACGCGAGGGAAGGCGCUGACGGCAAGGUGGCAGGAAGAACAUUCCAACACAGACCACAACACCUAUGGACCUGGAAAACAUUGUGCUCAGUGAAAGAAGCCAGACACAGAAGGACAAUGUUGUAUGAGGGACACAUUCCAGCAAAAAGACACAAAGUGACAGAAUGGCUGCCUUUGAGUGGGGGUGAGAAGAGGUGGAUGGCAGGUACCAGAAGAGAAGGGAAUAAAUAUAUGAAGAAAUACAACCCCCUCGGGCAGUGCCUGGCACAGCAUAAAUGCCCAGGAAAAAGAGGCCCAGUUGCUUACGUUCCCGGCGACAGGGCCGGGACCAGCGCCGGCUUCCUGGUGAAGGAGGCCACCCUUUCCUCUUGAGGGGUCUGAGUAUGCAUGUCAGCACCCGGUGGGCAC